GUCCGUCCUUGAUCGUCUUUUAAAUGGAUUUAAAAAUAGUGAUAUUUAUAAUGUCAAGGUCUACACUGUACUUAUACACAGAUAAGCGGAUUCACUAACGUAAGGAGGAGGAGAAUUUUAUCAGAUCGUUCACCACCAUAACUUCCAGGUUAUUAGUGCAUGCCUCAACUCAGUCGGACUCCUACAAUUCAAAUGACCUACAAACGCCCCGAGUUCAAGAUGUCAGAAGCUAUUUUAGUUUUGCAGUCGUUUUCUGUCCACGAACUGAUUGCAGAUCAGAAUCGUUGGGCUGCUAUUCAGCUGGAUCGGCGCGACUGAAGAAGGAGUUUGGUUUCUCUCUUCGCUGGCAACCGGGACAUGGACGCCCCCGACUCUCCACCUUUCAGUUCUCUUACUUUACCGUUUUAAAUAUGGCCGUGUAGUUUAAUGCAGCUUUUAUUCCACGACAUCCCACCCAUCUGAUAAACCGUUUGUCGUCUCAGAACUGUAUUUAAGUUGGCAAACUGGAACAGACCAUCCGACUAAUUUUUUGAGUCUUUCAAAAUUCCUUAAAUUACUCGGGUGAGUUAGGGGAUGAGGCCAUUCAGUUGUACGGUUAUGGCAAAUCAGUCUUUAAAUAAAAAGAAGCAAUAAGGACAUCAUUUUAUAGACCAGAAACAUCACAGGAAUAUUAGAAUGAUCACUAAGAAACUUACCAAGUCGAUACAUCAUAGAAAAGUGUCUCUGUGACUCUGCUGACAUUGAUCGGAAGAGACAGAGGAGGAUCCACCACCAAACAUGCAUGGAACAAACACCCUUCGCUAUGACAUGUCAGAAGAGGAUCUAGUGUCUUGCCUCCCCCUUGUCAUAGUAUCAGUUUGUCACAACCAGCCAUUAUUCUUUUUCCUGGCACAGCAUUGCUGUACACUGUAGUUUUUCCUGUCUUCAAACAUUCAGAUGGAGUCACUUAAUCUCAGGCUUCUAAGAAAAUGCUUCUGUGUUUCUCAUUUAUAUGAAAGAACAUUAAUUUUGCGUUUUAAAUUCCCAAACUACAAUAACAUGUCAUACAAUUCAGGAAAGUCAUGUCUCAGUAUGUGGGUUUGAAUGCUUUGUUUUUUUUAUCUUGGUACUAGAUGUGUUUAUAGAAAAAAAACACUUAAUCUUCAUGGAAGAAAUACGGAUGGUUCACAUUCUGCCAACGAUUUAGGCUGGAAGGCCCAGACAACCGUCUACACAGGAAAAAUACUCAAUAACACACCGAAGAGGCUGCUUUUCAUCAAAACUGACAAAUGUCAGUAUUUAUUUUUCUUCCAGACCACAAUAAUCCCAAAACCUGAUCUACACAUUUUCCUUAAAACCUAACAAUCAAAGACUAGGUAGAAAACAAAAAACAGUUUAUACCUCAGUUUGACUCCCAGGAAUAUGUAAUGAAAUGGUUUCAUACAAAGUUCUCAGUACUGAAAAUGCAAUCUGUUACCUUGGCUUCAUAUGACAGUGAUCAUAUAGGCUUUUCGUUAGAAUUGUAUAAAUUACGCAAAUAUUAAAAUUACCUAGAAUGUCCAGUAAGUUAAACCGAUCAGCAAGUUAAAACUCUCUCUUUAAAAGCGCCCGAGGUCGUCAGUCGUCUUUGGCAGGAAGCUUGUUUGGCUUCCAGUCGAAGGACGUUGCUUGGGGCACACGAAGCAGGAAGACACCAAUAGAGACGACGGUGAGGCCACACAGCAUACCCAGGCAAUCCACCGCACCCAAGGCCGUCCAUUCCUUGAAAAACACGGCCGACGCCAGGAUGACGGAGGUGGUGAACGCCACAUAGUAUAUGGCUUCAAACGUGCUGGGGCUGAAGCUCUCCAGGGCCUUAUUGAUGAAGGUGAACUGGAGGAGGACGCUGACGACGAGUGUUCCCAGGAGACCCAGGAAGAGUGUGUGCGCCCCGCUGUUGGGAGAGCCACCUGCAAAGGCAUCAGGGGUGACCAAGCCCAGCCCCUUGCUGCUGGGCACAGUGAAGCUUCCCAGCAGCGAGCAGAUGGAGACGUACACCAUGAUGUUCGAGGAGCCGUGAAGUGGAGCCACCCACGUGAUCAGCACGACCAGAAUCAGCAGCACCAUAAAGAUGUAGGCAAAAAGCACUGAAUGGAGAGAAAGACUUUCACUAACCUUGUCUCAGAAGCCGAUUACAUUAGCCAAUCAGUAUUUGUGUGACUUGCAAGGAAUGCGUAAAGCGGUAUCAUUAGCAACAGUACAGACUUAGAAAUGACUAAUAAUCAAACCAGGACACAGUAAAAUAAAAAGGACGAUGCGUACAGGGAUCUUGCAGCCUGCCUUCCAGCUCCGCUCUGGAGCUCACGUUAUCCAACUUUGGAGCGUGGAUGAUCAGCACCACAGAUCCCACGCAGCACAGGACGCAGCCCAGCUUCCCCAGGAAGGUCAGACGUUCCUGGAGCACCCAGGAAGCCAGCAGGGCCCUGUGGCACAAAAGGAACAUGGCACACCAACUCAGAGUCCCGUUUUCAGUAGGCUCAUCCAGCAACAACAGGGUUCAAAAACGUUUUAGCUACACAACGAGACACAUCGUGUCUUGUUUCUAUUUCAUACUCUGAGCCUGUGUGCAAAAUAUUGACCGGAUUGAGCAACAUUUAGAUGUCCCCCAAAAUGUCGACUUGCAUUAGGUCUAUGAAAUUAUGUUCCAGGUAGUUUACUUCGUGUUGAUAAAUCAAAAUAUGUGAUAUUAUAAAUUAUAUCAUAUGUAAUUAUUAAUUUAUAUACAUGAUUGUUUUUAAUCCCAGGCAUCGUUUCAGGUGAACUGUGACUAGCUCUGACGAGUUGUGGCUGAUUGGUUAUCACCACCAGGAUAUGAGGUCAGCAGGCUUCCCUCUCAAGGCCAAGCAUUGUGAAAGUACUUCUCUCGUCACAGAUGAACGAAACAGACCAAGGCAGAAGCCGCAAAAGUGCUGGGGCCAUUAGUGUCAUUAGUUUUUGGAACGCAGCCCAUAUUCCCACUUUUCCAAGGCUCCUGACCCUCACUGAUGAGUAGGACGGCCUACUAAAGCCCCAGUCGGGUCUCAAACACGGACAGGGUCAAGGAAGCAAUGUUUCAGGACUCCCUGGAAGACAUAUCCGACGCUGGCCACUUAAAUGCGUCUUAGAUGAAAAAUACGGCUGGAGUCCACACUGUACUUGCCAAGGAAGUCGCUGGCAGAGCGGGGCCACCGGUGGGCCCUUGAGUGAGGCCCUUAACUUCCAUGGCUCCAGGGACGCUGUGUGACUCUGCUCUCUGAUCCUCACUUGUAUGUCACUUUGGGCAAAAGCGUGUCUGCUCAAUAAAUGUAUGGAACUGUAAUCAAAA